GGGACAAUAGUCUAACGGUUAGGAUGCAAGACUGUCACUCUUGAGGUUUGGGUUCAAUUCCCAGUUGCCCCG